GAGUUUGAUCGUGGCUCAGAAUGAACGCUGGCGGCGUGCCUAACACAUGCAAGUCGAACGAGAAAGGGUGCUUCGGCACCCGAGUAAAGUGGCGCACGGGUGAGUAACGCGUAGGCAACCUGCCCCUGUAUUUGGGAUAACAGAGCGAAAGCGCUGCUAAUACCGGAUACGAUCCAUAGGCGGGAGUUUAUGGAUGAAAGUCAGCCUCUCGGAGAAGCUGGUGUACGGGGAUGGGCCUGCGUCCUAUCAGCUAGUUGGUGAGGUAACGGCUCACCAAGGCGACGACGGGUAGCUGGUCUGAGAGGAUGAUCAGCCACACUGGCACUGGAACACGGGCCAGACUCCUACGGGAGGCAGCAGUGAGGAAUUUUGCGCAAUGGCCGCAAGGCUGACGCAGCAACGCCGCGUGGGUGAAGAAGGCCUUCGGGUCGU
rnacentral:rRNA from 1 species